AUGCACGCUGGCGGCGUGCCUAAUCCCUGCCAGUCGAGCGAACAGACGAGGAGCUUGCUCCUUUGACGUUAGCGGCGGACGGGUGAGUAACACGUGGGUAACCUACCUAUAAGCCUGGGAUAACUUCGGGAAACCGGAGCUAAUACCGGAUAAUAUUUCGAACCGCCUGGUUCGAUAGUGAAAGAUGGCUUUGCUAUCACUUAUAGAUGGACCUGCGCCGUAUUAGCUAGUUGGUAAGGUAACGGCUUACCAAGGCAACGAUACGUAGCCGACCUGAGAGGGUGAUCGGCCACACUGGAACUGAGACACGGUCCAGACUCCUACGGGAGGCAGCAGUAGGGAAUCUUCCGCAAUGGGCGAAAGCCUGACGGAGCAACGCCGCGUGAGUGAUGAAGGUCUUCGGAUCGUAAAACUCUGUUAUUAGGGAAGAACAAACGUGUAAGUAACUGUGCACGUCUUGACGGUACCUAAUCAGAAAGCCACGGCUAACUACGUG
rnacentral:rRNA from 1 species